GACGAACGCUGGCGGCGUGCCUAAUACAUGCAAGUCGAGCGCAGGAAGCCGUCUGAACCCUUCGGGGGGACGACGGUGGAAUGAGCGGCGGACGGGUGAGCAACACGUAAAGAACCUGCCCAUAGGUCUGGGAUAACCACGAGAAAUCGGGGCUAAUACCGGAUGUGUCAUCGGACCGCAUGGUCCGCUGAUGAAAGGCGCUCCGGCGUCGCCCAUGGAUGGCUUUGCGGUGCAUUAGCUAGUUGGUGGGGUAACGGCCCACCAAGGCGACGAUGCAUAGCCGACCUGAGAGGGUGAUCGGCCACACUGGGACUGAGACACGGCCCAGACUCCUACGGGAGGCAGCAGUGGGGAAUAUUGCACAAAGGACGAAAGUCUGAUGGAGCAACGCCGCGUGGACGAUGAAGGCUUUCGGGUCGUAAAGUUCUGUUGUAAGGGAAGAACAAGUGCCGCAGGCAAUGGCGGCACCUUGACGGUACCUUGCGAGAAAGCCACGGCUAACUACGUGCCAGCAGCCGCCGUAAUAC
rnacentral:rRNA from 1 species